UACAGAGGGCGCGAGCGUUGUCCGGAAUCACUGGGCGUAAAGGGUGCGUAGGCGGGUCUUUAAGUCAGGGGUGAAAUCCUGGAGCUCAACUCCAGAACUGCCUUUGAUACUGAGGAUCUUGAGUCCGGGAGAGGUGAGUGGAACUGCGAGUGUAGAGGUGAAAUUCGUAGAUAUUCGCAAGAACACCAGUGGCGAAGGCGGCUCACUGGCCCGGUACUGACGCUGAGGCACGAAAGCGUGGGGAGCAAACAGG
rnacentral:rRNA from 1 species